UACGAAGGGGGCUAGCGUUGUUCGGAAUUACUGGGCGUAAAGCGUGUGCAGGCGGCUUCUCAAGUCAGGGGUGAAAGCCCAGAGCUCAACUCUGGAAUUGCCUUUGAGACUGAGAGGCUUGAGUACGGGAGAGGUGAGUGGAAUUCCCAGUGUAGAGGUGAAAUUCGUAGAUAUUGGGAAGAACACCAGUGGCGAAGGCGGCUCACUGGACCGUAACUGACG
rnacentral:rRNA from 1 species